AGGUUUUAUUAUGUCUCCCCCACCUCGGGGGGAGACAUAUUGUUUUUGCCCUGUCCGUCCGUCCGUCAGUCCGUCCGUCCGUCAGUGCGUCCGUCCAUUCUUCGUUUCCGGACGAUAACUAGAGUUCCUUUUGACCUACAGCUCUCAAACUUCAUAGGAUGAAUGGUCUUAUUGAGCAGAUGAUCCCUAUUGUUUUUGGGGUCAGUAGUUCAAAGGUCAAGGUCACAGUGACCGUUGGUCAAUUUCUCGUUUCCGGAUGAUAACUAGAGUUCCUUUUGACCUACAGCCCUCAAACUUCAUAGGAUGAUUGGUCUUAUAGAGCUGAUGAUCCCUAUUGUUUUUGGGGUCAGUAGGUCAAAGGUCAAGGUCACACUGACCGUUGGUCAAUUUCUCGUUUCCGGAUGAUAACUAGAGUUCCUUUAGACCUACAGACCUCAAACUUCAUAGGAUGAUUGGUCUUAUUGAGCAGAUGAUCCCUAUUGUUUUUGGGGUCAGUAGUUCAAAGGUCAAGGUCACAGUGACCGUUGGUCAAUUUCUCGUUUCCGGAUGAUAACUAGAGUUCCUUUUGACCUACAGCCCUCAAACUUCAUAGGAUGAUUGGUCUUAUAGAGCAGAUGAUCCCUAUUGUUUUUGGGGUCAGUAGGUCAAAGGUUAAGGUCACAGUGACCAUUGGUCAUUUUCUCAUUUCCGGAUGAUAACUAGAGUUCUUAUCAGUGAGGACAUUUAACUAUUAUUGAUAUAUCAGUGAUAUAUCAGUUGUCUGGUUUUAUAUACUCUGUUCUUUUAUCUCCAUUUCCAUUCCUGUUUCCAUUCACAGUUAUUCUCAGCAGUGGGGGAGACAUGCGCUUUUU